rnacentral:lncRNA from 1 species
UGCAAAAGAGGCGUUUCUCGUGGUGUCUUGUGGGAGUGGCGGUGCGAUCCCUCUCAGACUUUCACACCUUAAAAAAAAAAGGAGGGGUUAUUCCUGCUUUUGCCGUGCUGUGAUCCAGGGCAGAGCUCCAGGCUUCAUACGGUAAAACUCUCUGGGAAGGAAAGGAACUCAGAGUCCCAUGCAGAAAAUUGUUCAGCUGGAGGGGUAUCAGAAAGAUGGAUUUCCAAAGCCAACUGUUUCCUGUAGUGUGUGGAUCUCUGCAAGCAGAGCCUCAUCUUUCAAUUUCAGCUACAUGAAAGAGGAAGAAAGGGAAAGAUAUAUGUCAUACGUGAUAUACUUUAUGUGGCUUUGAAGACCCCUCUUUUGUGGGGCUACGGCUAAAGAACAUAGUUCCCUGGGAUGGAAUUGGCUCUUCCUAUUUCCCUACUUCAUGAAAACUCCAGUAGAAGACCUUAGAACCUUGUCCUGGUUACAUGGAUAUGUUUACUUUGUGAAAAUUCAUCAAGCACUAUGCACGGU